UAAGGUCAAGUAGAAAAGGGCGCACGGUGAAUGCCUAGGCACUAACAGCCGAAGAAGGACGUGACGAACUACGAAAAGCUUCGGGGAGCGGUAAGUACGCAGUGAUCCGGAGAUAUCCGAAUGGGGGAACCCAAUGCAGAGAUGCAUUAUUGAUUAGUGAAUAGAUAGCUAAUCAAAGGAAGACGCAGUGAACUGAAACAUCGCGAGGACCAUCUCGCAAGGCUAAAUACUAGUUAGUGACCGAUAGUGAACCAGUACCGUGAGGGAAAGGUGAAAAGAACCCCGGAAGGGGAGUGAAAAAGAACCUGAAACCGUGUGUCUACAAGUAGUCAAAGCACAUUAAAGUGCAAUGGCGUGCCUUUUGUAGAAUGAACCGGCGAGUUACGUUAUCUAGCGAGGUUAAGUCAGAAAAGACGGAGCCGGAGCGAAAGCGAGUCUUAAUAGGGCGAAAAGUUAGGUGACGUAGACCCGAAACCAAGUGACCUACCCAUGACCAGGCUGAAGGUGUGGUAAAACGCACUGGAGGGCCGAACCCACGUAAGUUAAAAAUUGCGGGGAUGAGUUGUGGGUAGCGGUGAAAUUCCAAACGAACUUGGAGAUAGCUGGUUCUCUCCGAAAUAGCUUUAGGGCUAGCCUCGUGGAGAGGAUAAUGGAGGUAGAGCUCUGUUUGGACUAGGGGCCCGUCAGGGGUUACUGAAUCCAGAUAAACUACGAAUUCCAGAUAUCCAUACACGGGAGUCAGACUGCGAGUGAUAAGAUCCGUAGUCGAAAGGGA
rnacentral:rRNA from 1 species